rnacentral:lncRNA from 1 species
AACCAUUUUCCAUUUAAAAGUGAUUUUUAUACCAUUUAUAACCCAUCAAUCUCAUAAUGAACAUUUAAAAGAACAAUGCAGAAUAAUUACACAAGCCCGACAUCGGGGUGUCACUAGUCAUGAGCAUCUACCAAGGUUUGAAUACAACAAAACAGUCAAGUGUACUAAGUACAAAAAUGGAAAUGAGUUGAAGAAACAGUGCUGCGAACGUCGUGCAGCCACCUUACUAACUCUGAUGACUCCGCGUCUGAGCAAUCAAUACCCGCUACCAGGUUUUGAAAUACCUGAAUCUGCACACGAGGUGCAAGGAGUAAUGUGAGCACACNNNNNNNNNNNNNNNNNNNNNNNNNNNNNNNNNNNNNNNNNNNNNNNNNNNNNNNNNNNNNNNNNNNNNNNNNNNNNNNNNNNNNNNNNNNNNNNNNNNNNNNNNNNNNNNNNNNNNNNNNNNNNNNNNNNNNNNNNNNNNNNNNNNNNNNNNNNNNNNNNNNNNNNNNNNNNNNNNNNNNNNNNNNNNNNNNNNNNNNNNNNNNNNNNNNNNNNNNNNNNNNNNNNNNNNNNNNNNNNNNNNNNNNNNNNNAUAACUCAUUAAGCACACAGGCUGCUAAUUCAGAAUACGAGUCGAUCGUUUUAUUAAAAAUCCAGCCUUUUGGUAAAAAUCAUUUGAAAAUGCUUUCUGACAGUUUCAGUAGGGGUUCAAUACCAUUUAUAAUAAAAGAGAUAAAAAAUCAUAGUUAGCCCCUCGGGAAAAACAUAGUUCGUAAACAGCCCCUCGGGAAAAAUAGGAAUCAUAAACACCUCAUAACAUGAAAAUCUCAGUGGAAAUAACAAAGCCAAAUCAGUGAUUAAAUUCUGAACAUCUCAUAAACCCCAACUUAAAUGAAAGUUGUUUUAAGAUAUUUGUUCAUCACUUUCGACAGAGGCUCAAUAUAAAGAUGAGUGAAAACAACCAAUAAAUCAACAUAUUCAAUAGAAACUCAUUUUAAAGAGGAGUGAAAAUCAAUAAGUUCAUAAACAGGUCUCUCAGGCAAAGCAUCACUCAUGUGCAUGUAUAUAUGUAUUGCCUCUCGGGCAAGCCUCUCAGUCACUCGUGACUCAACUCUUACCAAUCAACGCUCACACUCAGCACUCACACUUAGUAGGUACCAUAUAGUAACCGCUGCGGCGUGCAACCCAAUCCAUAUAUCACUGUGGAGUGCAGCCCGAUCCAUAUAUCUCGUCGACAGCGCACACUGGGGGUGUGCGGACUUUGGACGGGCUCUUACAGCCCAAGCGCUAUAUCGCUGCGGCGUGUAGCCCAAUCCAACAUAUUGUUGCGGCGUGCAGCCUGAUCCAUAUACAUACAUACACACACACACACACACACACACACACACACACACACACACAUAUAUAUAUAUAUAUAUAUUGUUGCAGCGUGCAGCCCGAUCCAUAACUAUAUAAUCCUCACAACCAGGCUCUCGGCCUCUCUCAGUCAUUAACUUCACAAUCACACUCUCGUUCUAUCUCAGUCAUCAACCUCACGAUCACUCGGACCAUCAGUAAAAUAGGGAACUCAACCCAAACAGUUUUCUUAUUUUUAAGAAAUAAAGUGAUAAACCAGAUUUAAACAAUAAACAGGUAACACACGACUGAGGAUAUGCUUUCAAAAUAAAGAGAGUGAGGAAAAAUAGUGGAAGUGCCCCUAAAGGUCUCAGCAGGUCGACACAAGGCCCCAAACAUGGCAUACAUCCCAAAAUAUAAUAACAUCAAAUAAUUAACUAUCAAUUACGCAUUAAAAUAAUCGUUCAGAAUGGACUAAGUCACAAUCCCCAGCGGUGCUCUACCCCACGCUCGUCAUCUAGCGUGUAAGUCACCUCAACAUAGCAUAACGAUGUGUAAUCCGGGGUUUCAAGCCCUCAGAGCAGCAUUUUCAAUAAUUACUUACCUCGAAUCGGCUAAAUCUCUAGCUCGUGAUGCCUUUGCCCCUCAAAUCAGCCUCCACGCACAUAUAGUUCUUCCAUUUUUAGCUUAAGUUCCAUGAAUUUCUUGGUUGAUUUCACAAUAGAAUCAAGUUUUAGGUUCAAAAAAUCAUACCUCCAUUCGGUUCUCUUUGAAUCCCUCUUUAAUUUCUUUCAUAAAGCUCUCAAAGUGAUCAACAAUGGAGGAAAUGAGCCGCAAAAUCGAGGAUGAAGUGACUUAAAACAUUCUACCCAGGUCUGACCCUUCCUCUUCGCGAACGCUGUCAAUGCCUUGCAUUCGCGAAGCACAAACUUACGUUGACCAACCUUUUCCCUACGCGAACGUCACACCAAUCGCGAUCGAGAUGCUUCUGCCUCCUACACCUUUGCGAACACGACAACCUUACGCGAACGCGAUGAACAAAAUACCUUGGACCCCAAUUUAUUCUACGUGAUCGCGAGUGCCUUCUUCGUGAAUGCGAAGGCUUAAUUCUAGCCUUCCUCAAAUCCUUCUACGUGAAUGCGAGGCUCCACUCGCGAACGCGAAGAGAUAAUUCUCUGCAACAGCUGAGCAGAUUAUUUUGCAACUUUCAAACUCCAAAAUGGUCCGAUUGACCACCCAAAACUCACCUGAGGCCCUCGGGACCUCAACCCAAAGCACCAACACAUCCUAAACCCUCAUUCAAACUUUCUCCAAUAAUCAAAACACCUCGAACAACAACAAAUCCACCAAUUCACAUCGAAUUCAAGCCUAAGUUUUCUAAAAACUUCCGAAAUAUGCUUUUGAUCAAAAACCCAACCAAACCAUGUCCGAAUGACCAGAAAUUUUGCGCACACAUUCCAAAUGACAUAACGAAGCUACAACAACUCUCAGAAUUCCAUUCCGACCUCUAUAUCAAAAUCUCACCUAUCCAUCGGAAAACGCCGAAAUCUCACUUUCGCUAAUUCAAGCCUAAACCUUCCACGAACUUCCAAAAUGCAUUCCAAUCAUGCUCCUAAGUCCUAAAUCACCUGAUGGAGCUAACAAAAUCAUAAAAUUCCCAUCCGAGAUCAUAUACAAUUAAGUCAAAUAUUGGUCAAACCUUUAGAAUUUCAAGCUUCAAACUGAGAACUAUUCUUCCAAAUUCAUUCCGAUUUUUCCUGAAAACCUAAACAAACGAUUUAAAUAAGUCAUAAUUCAUCACACAGGGCUAGUCAUGCCCAAGAACUAGCGAGCAAAGUGCAAAAGCUCAAAGCGACUGGUCGGGUCGCUAUAUCCUCCCCCACUUAAACAUACGUUCGUCCUUGAACGUGCCCAGUGUAGUUCCAAAAGCCAACCAAUCGCUGAAUAACCUUACCAUGCACAUACCCGGGGGUGAUCCCACGUCACCCUAUCACAUAUAGGUCCGAUAACACAAUGCAACUGAAAUUUCACAAUCCGACCUAGCCCAUAAACCUUAGAACCACAUUUCCACUCCUGAGAUCAUCCACAAGAUCAAAAUAUCACAUCUAUACUCCGAAUAAGCCCGAACUGGCUGUAAUAACCCAUACAUGCAACCUUAGGUGCAAUUACAUGGUAUACCACAUACCUCAACCACUUGUAGCGAUAACUUCUAAUCUUAACAGCUGCACACAACAACCGAAUACCGGUAGAAAACCUCUUAUCAACCAAAAUCUCAUCCCAACACUUCCAUAUGCUGCCAAUGAUAAAUAAACCACACAGUAAGCCAUAACCAUUCCUCAGAUCAACCAUUUAUGAAGCCACUUCUCCUUUGGCAAAAACCAUAGCAAUUUCUGAGCCGAACCUCAAUAUUGUCCUUCCAACAUGCUGAAAUCGAAUCCGUUCAUACUCAUUAAUGAUCCCAAUGAUCUCCUUUGAUCCAACACACUACUCUGGUGACAUGACAUAUCAAUACAGUCUUAAGCCACAACUUGUAUAAUACACGCACCAAUAAGCAACGGUCCGAACAUACUCAAAUCAUAAAAAUAACUCUAACGAAAGAGCUGCCCCUCAAGCUCACCAAUACCAUCACAACACAAGGCUGAGAACCCGUCUCUUAUCAUAGAAAUAUAACACAUGAAUCUAACCCGCAAGGUCAUAACUCCACAUAGCUUCAUUGCAACGCGCGAUCCUAUCCAAACGCUGCUCCACACGAAACUCCUCGAGUCACUAUGCUCGAAAUUGACAAACACACACAAUUUGAUGUCUGGAACCAAAGAAAAUCAUUACACCCACGGUGAGACAAAUAACAUACACCAUGCAAACCCGAAAGAACAUAACCGAUACGACAUUCACCGAGAAACACCCAAUCACUCUUCCCGCUCGACUUCCACUAUGAAACUCCGACAGAACCGCACUAUAGGUGCCUAUAAUCAACAGAUCAUAACGCCUCGCAACACAGAAAGGUAACUCAUAGAUCUCCCCAGAUUACCAAUAAGCUCAAUAACAACCGAAUCAACACAUCCUUCGCCUACAACAACUCGAUGUCAACAAGGCCGUCUCGAUACCGGACAUAUAUCCAUAUAGGUCUACCAAUGGACCACACAUCAACUCUAGUUACCCACAACAGAUAAAUAAUCCUUCGAAGGUUCACAGUGACUGAAUCAUAGCACAUACUAACAUCUGACUAACUUACCCACAUUUUGCCAUCCACAACCACGAGCUAACCUGCGUAUGAGAACUUCCAGUCUCCAAGUCCAUAAAAUACAUGAAGUACCAUAUCUGAUCCCAAUUCCACCACUCGCAUAUAUAACUCACCUCUAGUACUCAAUCAUUCCACGAGCGAUACUCUAAGAUUCCUCUAUGAUGCCAAGCAAACCCGAAUAUUAGCAGCUGAUCUGACAAGAAGUGAUGCAAUACUACCGGAGUACCAUCAACUUAAUCACAUCACCUCUCUCUGAAUCAUAUACCCUCAUCCAAUCACCUCAAUUAGCAUUACCAUUUCCUUAAUCAUCUAAAGAGUAUUUCUCAAAUUAUCUGAAGCUCAUUUCUUCAAUUUAUCUGAACUGCCCGUGCUGCCUAAGAAUUUAUGACCUUCCUUUCAAAUCUGAACCGUGACCUUACACAUGCCAAUCUUACUCCUACACAACAUACCGCAUAAACCGUACUAUUCUAGGAUAACCACAAGAACCUUGUAUCUCUUCCGAGCCACAAGCAAUUAUGUACUCAACCAACCAAGAACUUUUCAUUGUUACCAUCUAGAAGAAAAUCACUAUACAUACCAUGCUCCUCAUGCCCAUAGAAAAUAUACAUUUCCAACCGAGGUUGAAACCAUCAAGAACUCUCCGAGUUCCCCUUGCACAAACCAGACCUGCCAGGACUGAAUCCUUCGAACUCAACCAAGCUACGCAGAUCACUAAAACCCAAGAGAAUUGCCGAGAAACACCUGUAGAAACGCAUUACCUCGCAAGCAUCCAAAGAACUAAUGUAUCCUUACCAUACCAACUCGGCCUACUACCAGGCUAUCCCAUCUAUCCGAAUUUCCUUCUGAUUUACCUUCAACUUGGUACUCACUCUUGCUAUAACAUCACAAUUUCUCAACCCAGAAUUACCACACGGGACCCAAGCAUAAAGCCACACCGUCUAAGGCUCAUAAGCCGCUGAAUACUUUCUCAGAUAUUCCCACGAGCACCAUGAUCAAAGUACUUUUCUCUGAAGAGACUUCUUGCGAAUCUAAAUCUGUUACCUUUACCUUCCUGGUACUGAUACAUAGAAUUUCAUAAUUUAUAAAGAAUUUACCACAAGUCUCGAUAUAUUCCAAUGAAAACUCAGUUUCUAACCACAGAUACAACUUUAAAAUACCCAAUUGUUAUAUGUAAAAUCUUGAACACAUUAGAACCAUUCUUGAGAGUCAUUCACUCUAUUCAAACUGCAAUUAGCCUGAUCAAAUGAACAGAGCCACCCUUGCCUUAAUAGCACUCCGACACCGUAGGGUGUAACCUCAUCCUAUAACAACCAAGCCACUUUCUGCUCUAUGCAUCGAGCAUCCAAUACCACAACAGCUCAAGACACUCUAAGAUUCCCAUACACCUAUGAAGCAUGACAUAACCUCUGUCAACAUUUUUCCUUUACUUGAGACAUCCUCGGUCUCAGUCCCCGUAAGCCAUAACUAAUUCACUAGUGUGCCUCAAACUGGAACCAACAUAGCACAUAACCGUGCAAUCAACAAAUCAACAACAGACUCCCCCACUUGGCUCGAAACCAUAGAUCAAAACACACUCAAUAUCGCAUAACACAUAUACUCUAUUGAUGCCAUAAUACCAUAGUGAAAUUAAACUCAAAUCCUUUGUAAGCUUGCGAAAACACAAAUCAUCUAGUACUUUAACUCUUCUGCAAAUCUCGCAUUCACUCUCACAACAGUUAGUCCCCCUCUCUUAAGUUACCCAUUUAAAUUAUGACACAUAUCUUUCACCUGCAUAUGAGAUCUGCUAACAGACAGCAUAAAGAUCGCACAACUUCCGAACACUUCGCAGGAGAUAACCCACCUGAUUUGCCUCAAACUAACAUUCCCGCAUACCUUCCACCGUCGUAAACUUUACACAGUCACUUAGUCUUCCUGAGUCUGAACCCAUACCGCAACAUGAAAUUUACUUCACUCCCAACUAACAUGAAAAGAUUCUUCACACGCCCAUAACUCGGGGCUAUACCUCGAACCAAGAUGGAAUUCAAACACCUAAUAGUUCUUCUAUCCUCAGCGGACCUUUCUCGUCGCUUCUAAAUCAUAUGGAUAUGUCUCGCAAUACUAACAUACUUAUCACAUAGCCAUCCAACUAUCGCUCCCUCUAAUAGGGACAAUGCUGAACAUAUAAGUUGAAAAACACUUGCUCACACAAUCAGCACCUCGGUGCUCAAGCCAUAGGCAAAGAUCCGGCCUCAAGUCCUCCAGACUGGCCCAACAUCAACUCACAGAGAUCACAUCUCGCCCCCCAAUCGAGGACUCACAAGCCAUCGAUGCAAAUCUGAUAUUGAGCACUCAUGCGCGCAUACGAACGCGUGGAAGGAAUCCAAAGAGUUACAUUUCAAGCUGAAUCAAGGACGCAUAAUAAGAAUUCAAGAACUUGAAGUUUACCUAAAGGUUCUACAACCUCUCGAGGAUAAAUACAGACGUCUCCGUACUGAUCCGCGAGACUCUACUAAACCUGCUCAUGUCUCGUGAGACCUAUGUAACCUAGGCUCUGAUACCAACUUGUCACGACCCCAAACCGGACCCAGUCGUGAUGACGCCUCUCAUGAAGACAAAGCCAGCUGACACAAUUCACAAAUCAACCAUUUUCCAUUUAAAAGUGAUUUUUAUACCAUUUAUAACCCAUUAAUCUCAUAAUGAGUGUUUAAAAGAACAAUGAGGAAUAAUUACACAAGCCCGACAUCGGGGUGUCACUAGUCAUGAGCAUCUACCAAGGUCUAAAUACAACAAAACAGUCAAGUGUACUAAGUACAGAAAUGGAAAUGAGAUGAAUAAACAGUGUUGCGAAUGUCGUGCAGCCACCUUACUAACUCUGAUGACUCCGCGUCUGAGCAAUCAAUACCCGCUACCGGGUUCUGAAAUACCUGAAUCUGUACACGAGGUGCAGGGAGUAAUGCGAGUACUCCAACGCAGUAAGUAAUAAGAGUAAAUAAAGACUGAGCAGUAGGAAAUAAUGAAUACAUAUUCAUGAUAACUCAAUAAGCACACAGGCUGCUGAUUCAGAAUACGAGUCGAUCGUCUUAUUAAAAUCCAGCCUUUUGGUAAAAAUAAUUUGAAAAUGCUUUCCGACAGUUUCAGUAGGGGUUCAAUACCAUUUAUAUUAAAAGAGAUAAAAAACCAUAAUCAGCCUCUCGGGCAAAACAUAGUUCGUAAACAACCCCUCGGGCAAAACAGGAAUCAUAAACACCUCAUAAUAUGAAAAUAUCAAUGGAAAUAACAAAGCCAAAUCAGUGAUUAAAUUCUGAACAUCUCAUAAACCCCAGCUUAAAUGAAAGUUGUUUUAAAACAUUUGUUCAAUACUUUCGACAGAGGCUCAAUAUAAAGAUGAGUGAAAACAGACAAUAAAUCAACAUAUUCGAUAGAAACUCAUUUUAAAGAGGAGUGAAAAUCAAUAAGUUCAUAAACAGGCCCCUCAAGAAAAAUAUCACUCAUGUGCAUGUAUAUAUCUAUUGCUCCUCGGGAAAGCCUCUCAGUCACUCGUGACUCAAACUCUUACCAAUUAGCGCUCACACUCAGCACUCACACUCAAUAGGUACCAUAUAAUAACCGCUGCGGUGCGCAACCCGAUCCAUAUAUCGUUGCGGCGUGCAGACCAAUCCAUAUAUCUCGUCGACGACGCUCACUGGGGGUGUGCAGACUCCGGAGGGGCUCCUACAACCCAAGCGCUAUAUCGCUAUGGCGUGCAGCCCGAUCCAACAUAUCGUUGCGAUGUGCAGCCCGAUCCGAUAUAGGUNNNNNNNNNNNNNNNNNNNNNNNNNNNNNNNNNNNNNNNNNNNNNNNNNNNNNNNNNGCAGCGUGCAGCGCGAUCCAUUAACUAUAUAAUCCUCACAACCAGGUUCUCGGCCUCUCUCAGUCAUUAACCUCACAAUCAAACUCUCGGUCUAUCUUAGUCAUCAACCUCACGAUCACUCGGACCAUUAGUAAAAUAGGGAACUCAGCCCAAACAGUUUUCAUAUUUUUAAGAAAUAAAGUGAUAAACCAGAUUUAAACAAUAAACAGGUAACACACGACUGAGGAUAUGCUUUCAAAACAAAUAGAGUGAUGCAAAAAUAGUGGAAGUGCCCCUAAGGGUCUCAGCAGGUCGGCACAAGGCCCCAAACAUAGCAUACAACCCAAAAUAUAAUAACAUUAAACAAUUAACUAUCAAUUACGCAUUAAAAUAAUCGUUCGGAAUGGACUAGGUCACAAUCCCUAGUGGUGCUCUACCCCACGCUCGUCAUCUAGCGUGUAAGUCACCUCAACAUAGCACAACGAUGUGUAAUCCAGGGUUUCAAACACUCAGAAUAGCAUUUUCAAUAAUUACUUACCUCGAACCGGCUAAAUCUCUAGCUCGUGACGCCCUUGCCCCUCAAAUCAGCCUCCACGCGCAUCGAAUCUUUCCAAAAUCAGAACGAAUACGUCACAAUAUGCCAAGGGAACAAAGCCCAAGCAAAAACAAAUCGAAAAAUGCUUAAAAUCCCGAAAUUAGCAAAACCCGAGCCCUGGGCCGACUUCUCGAAACUCAGAAAUUUUCAUAUCAAUAGAUUCCUUAUCUCCCCAUGAGUUCAUACAUACCAAAAGUUCUCACAUCCGACCCCAAAUGGUCUUCCAAAUCCCUAAUUAAAAUUUCCAAAAUUUCAAGGCUUAGUUCUUCCAUUUUUAGCUUAUGUUCCAUGAAUUUCUAGGUUGAUUUCACAAUAGAAUCAAGUUUUAGGUUCAAAAAAUCUUACCUCGAAUCGGUUCUCUUUGAAUCCCUCUUUAAUUUCCUUCAUAAAGCUCUCAAAAUGAUCAACAAUGGAGGAAAUGAUCCCCAAAAUUGCGGAUGAAGUGACUUAAAACAUUAUGCCCAUGUCUGACCCUCCCUUCUUCGCGAACGCGGUCAACGCCUCGCGUUCGCGAAGCACAAACUUAUGUUGACCAAUUUUUGCCAUACACGAACAUGUCACACCGAUCGAGAUCGCGAUGCUUCUACCUCCUACACCUUCGCGAACGCGACAACCUUACGCGAACGCGAUGAACAAAAUACCUUGGACCCCAAUUUACUCUAUGCGAUUGCGAGUGCCUUCUCGCGAACGCAAUGCACUGCUUCCCAUCCUUUCGUGAACGCGAAGGCUUAAUUCUGGCCUUCCUCAAAUACUUCUACGCGAACGCGAGGCUCCACACGCGAACGCGAAGAGAUAAUUCUCUACAACAGCUGAGCAGAUUGUUUUGCAACUUUCAAACUCCAAAAUGGUCCGAUUGACCACCCGAAACUCACCGAGGCCCCCAGGACCUCAACCCAAUGCACCAACACAUCCUAAAACAUAUUUCAAACUUGCUCUAAUCAUCAAAACACCUUGAACAACACCAAAUCCACCAAUUCACAUCGAAUUCAAGCCUAAGUUUUCUAAAAACCUCCGAAAUACGCUUUUGAUCAAAAACCCAACCAAACCACGUCCGAAUGACCUGAAAUUUUGCAAACACAUCCAAAUGACAUAACGAAGCUACAGGAACUCUUGGAAUUCCAUUCCGACCUCUAUAUCAAAAUCUCACUUAUCCAUCGGAAAACACCGAAAUCUCACUUUCACCAAUUCAAGCCUAAACCUUCCACCGACUUCAAAAAUGCAUUCCGAUCAUGCUCCUAAGUCCCAAAUCACCUGAUGGAGCUAACCAAAUCAUAAAAUUCCGAUCCAAGAUCAUAUACAAGCAAGUCAAAUAUUGGUCAAACCUUUCGAAUUUCAAGCUUCAAACUGGAAACUGUUCUUCCAAAUUCAUUCCGAUUUUUCCUGAAAACCAAAACCAACGAUUUAAAUAAGUCAUAAUUCAUCACACGGGGCUAGUCAUGCCCAAGAACUGGCGAGCAAAGUGCAAAAGCUCAAAUGUACCGGUCGGGUCAUUACAUUAUUGGAAGACCAUAGUGACUUAACAGAUUCUUGGUCCUUAAAAAUGGCAGUUCUACAAGAACUUCUCUUCGGGAUUAAAAGAUAUCAUCUGGACAUCUAGAAAAAAACCUCUGAAGAAAAAUCAUUUUUUCCUUGUAAUCAACACAAUUUUGUUCUGGGCAACAGAAACUAUUGACUUUUCACUCUGCUAAGGUCAGCAAAUUGCUAUUGGGAGCGAGGAGAUUACAAGGGAUUUGACUUUGACUAAUGAUAGACAAAAAGGAGUUAAUGAUAAGGUAGCUUCAGGUGAUCGAAUAACUAUGCAAGAGGAUGGUUUGAAUCGAGAAAACAAUGGUAGUAAGCAGCAAAGCGUUACACUGGUGGCUCAAGAAGGUAAUAGUGAUCGAGCUAUUGUUGAUCGAGUGGAGCAUGUUGUAAUGUCUGAAGCUAUUGUUGCUAUCAGGGGUGACAUUACUGCUGCUUCAGGUCAAGUUAAAGCUGGGAAAAAUAUUGAGGGUGUAGGUGUGGAUCAGGUCAAGAAAAAGCCAACUAGAGAGGAUAAGAGGUUGAAGGAUAUUCUUGCUGGUACGAUUUUCGUAAGGAUGUACACAGCUAUUGCUGGUACAGUGAAGUCUGAUGCUGAUCGAGCUAAUACUCAAGCAAACCUGAUAUGGUUCAACUGGUUGGGGCAUCUGGUAAUGUGAAGGAGUUACAAGAUCAUCAGUUGGUGAAGAAAAUAGCAGCAUUGGUGAAGUCUCAAAAUCAAAGUCCUACCAUUGCGAUGAAGUUUUCAAAGGAUGGGAGUUCAAGUUUGAAGGUUGUUAAUGCUGUGAAUACAACUGGCAUGGCUGUUUUAGAUGGUUCACUUGCUACAGGUGAUGAGGCAGAUGUUCAGCAAGUUCAAAAACUAGUAGUUGAUGCAACAUGAAAGGGAAAAAUCUGGACAUGAAAGUGUUCGAGUUGCUGCAAAUUCUAGUAGCAAUUCUGAUGGUAAUAUUGGUGCACCUAUAUCUAGAUUGAAUACCAAUAAAUUGGUCAAUAAUGAGAAGAAAAAUAUGGUGGAAGGUUGGACCACAGUAGCUUGCAAAAAGACCGGUACAACACAAACCAUAGUGUGUGUACAUGUAAUUUUUUUGCAGAAAUAAUUUAUUUUCCUAUAUUGUUAGCUUUAUUCGACCCAAAAGUUAAAAGGGACAUCAUCUCUUGAACACUCAUAAAUAUUCCCCUAUAUAAGCCUGGUUGGACUAAACAACAUCGUAUAAGACAAAAUUUUACAAGUAAUGUAUUUUAUGUAUUUAAAAAGCAGGAACAAGAGCUCAAGAGACUUGAAGGUCAUAGAAUUGGAGAAAAAAGAGUGAAAGGAAAUAAAAUCACAAAGAAUCAAAAAAGUGCUGACAACAAUGUACAAUGGAGUUGGCUCUAAGAAGAGUCGAGUUAAAUCAAUUGCAUAUGAACCCAACAUAAUAUAUCAAUAUGUUACAUUGCUAAUUUACAUCACUGUUUCACUUCAUCUAAUUUUUAAAAAUAUUAAAUUUGGGUAAUAAGUUGGCUAUAUAACUUAAAUAACCCAUAAAAAUCAUGGUAAAGAAACUGCACUAGAGCACAUAAUGAUAAAAAAAUUCAACCAAUUAAUCACCUCAUAUGAAAAACCACAAGACAUCCACAAAAUUUUCAUCAUAGAGAUAGAAAGAUGCAACGAAGUGAAAGGACUCAUAACCAAAAGUGCGCCUCCAUUAUGACUGUAAGCCUUCGUUAAUCUUUUGAUUCUUCGCCCAAGUCUCGGUUUCUUCUUUUAACUUUUUCUUCUUUAAUAUUCUUGUAUAUAUACACAUACUCCAUCUCUUUUUGUAUUUUUGUCUGCUUUGGAAUCUUAGAUUAUUACGUUAUGCAAUGUGAUUCACUCCAUAUUUGCUAGAUUUUAUCUCAAAUCAUUUGAAUUCCAACUAAUGUCUCCAUCUUUUUCUUUAAAUUGCAGGUUUUAUUUAUUGAAUAAGCCCAUAACUAUGGAUUUUGGGGAUAACAAUAUUUUUGAAGGUAGGCUUGCUGCUAGCAGCGACCCUACUAGGAGCCAAACUCAUGACCCUUCAAGCAAGUCCCCAGAAGAAUUGUAUAACGCAAAUCUCAAAGGAGAAAACUAUUGCAGAGAAGAAACUCUACAAGAAAAACUCAAAUUUCUCCUCCUUGACCUACGAGCUCAUCUUUAAACCAAUAUUCUCACUUUUAUCACUCACACAAUAACUAUCACUAUUCUAAACAACCCAAUCGCAUAAAACAACUAAAGAAACAGAAAAUUACAGAACCCAAUUUUUGAUUUCUGGUUUAAUCGGAAAAAAAAAACAAGAAAAAUAAAAAAGGAAACAAAACAAAUAAAAGAGAAAGAAAUUAAACUUACUCUUGAUUAGGCAGAUAAUCCAAUGGCAGAGUUUGUGUAAAGUAUUGAAAUUUGCCCCCAACCUUCUGAGUUUGAGGUGAUGAAUUUUACAACCUUUUGAAUUCUGACUGAUAAAGUUUGCAACCUUCUAAACUUUGAAUAGAAUUGAAGUCACCGCUUAAUUAGGGAUUGCAGCGUGAAAGUGAUAUUUUGGGAGAGAUUUUAGGGUGAAAGUGAAUUUUUGAAGGGAUUUUACAGUGAAAAUAUAUUUUUG